rnacentral:rRNA from 1 species
ACGGAGGAUCCGGGCGUUAUCCGGAAUUACUGGGUUUAAAGGGUGCGUAGGCGGGGCUUUAAGCCGGCGGUGAAAUGCAGCGGCUCAACCCCUGGAAUGCCGUGGGGACUGGGGUUCUUGGGUACGGGAGGGGAGGGGGGAACUCGCGGUGUAGCGGUGAAAUGCGUAGAUAUCGGGAGGAACACCAGUGGCGAAGGCGGCUUGCUGGGCCGAUAUUGACGCUGAGGCGCGAAAGCGUGGGGAUCGAACAG